rnacentral:rRNA from 1 species
AUAUCAAUAGAGGGAGGAGGAGAAAACAACGGUGAUUCCGGCAGUAGCGGCGAGCGAAGUCGGAGCAGCCCCAAUGGUAAAGGUUCGCCUGUUGUGAGGGGACGUGGGCAACGCUCUGGAAGGGGCGCCCGCAGAGGGUAACAGACCCGUACAGCGCGCCCACAGUUUUGAGUAGCGCUGUUUGGUAGUGCAGUGUGAACGGGUGGUUGUGAGCAUCCAAGGCUAAAUACGUGCCGAGACCGAUAGCGCACAAGUA